rnacentral:tRNA from 1 species
CCGACCUUAGCUCAGUUGGUAGAGCGGAGGACUGUAGUAUGUUGUGCAGAAUAAUCCUUAGGUCGCUGGUUCGAAUCCGGCAGGUCGGA